GACGAACGCUGGCGGCGUGCUUAACACAUGCAAGUCGAACGGAAAGGCCCUGCUUUUGUGGGGUGCUCGAGUGGCGAACGGGUGAGUAACACGUGAGUAACCUGCCCUUGACUUUGGGAUAACUUCAGGAAACUGGGGCUAAUACCGGAUAGGAGCUCCUGCUGCAUGGUGGGGGUUGGAAAGUUUCGGCGGUUGGGGAUGGACUCGCGGCUUAUCAGCUUGUUGGUGGGGUAGUGGCUUACGAAGGGUUUGACGGGUAGCCGGCAUGGGAGGGUGACCAGCCACAUUGGGACUGAGAUACGGACCAGACUCCUACGGGAGGCAGCAGUGGGGAAUAUUGCACAAUGGGCGGAAGCCUGAUGCAGCAACGCCGCGUGCGGGAUGACGGCUUUCGGGGUGUAAACCGCUUUCGCCUGUGACGAAGCGUGAGUGACGGUAAUAGGUAAAGAAGCACCGGCUAACUACGUG
rnacentral:rRNA from 1 species